rnacentral:rRNA from 1 species
GAUGAACGCUGGCGGCGUGCCUAAUACAUGCAAGUCGAGCGAACAGACGAGGAGCUUGCUCCUCUGACGUUAGCGGCGGUCGGGUGAGUAACACGUGGAUAACCUACCUAUAAGACUGGGAUAACUUCGGGAAACCGGAGCUAAUACCGGAUAAUAUAUUGAACCGCAUGGUUCAAUAGUGAAAGACGGUUUUGCUGUCACUUAUAGAUGGAUCCGCGCCGCAUUAGCUAGUUGGUAAGGUAACGGCUUACCAAGGCGACGAUGCGUAGCCGACCUGAGAGGGUGAUCGGCCACACUGGAACUGAGACACGGUCCAGACUCCUACGGGAGGCAGCAGUAGGGAAUCUUCCGCAAUGGGCGAAAGCCUGACGGAGCAACGCCGCGUGAGUGAUGAAGGUCUUCGGAUCGUAAAACUCUGUUAUUAGGGAAGAACAAAUGUGUAAGUAACUAUGCACGUCUUGACGGUACCUAAUCAGAAAGCCACGGCUAACUACGUG